ACCAAUUAGAGGUUUCCACGACAAUUGGACAUUGAAGACAAUUGAAGCUGGGGAGGAUACUGAUAGGCAGUAUAGGGCAUUAGAUAGGGUAUUAAAUGAAUGUACAAUAUACCAGAUGGUUGACCUUGUCAAGUUUUAGUACUUCAGAUAAGGAGGAUAGAAAAAUAUGGCUCAACAAUUUAUCGGUAUCUUGUAGUGUUAAACUUUAUACAUACACAUAUGGUAGUAACCUUGGUAAUGUAAUCAUAAUUUGGAAGAUAAAAGCCAUACUAGAAGACUGGAAGCCCAGUGAAAAUGUAAGAAUUAUCAUUUUGGUUAGAGACAGUAUCAUGACAUUCUCCACAAGAAGAAUGAGGAGAUACUUUGUUGAAAAAUACACCAAAAACUUCAAAUUGCAACCAGCUAUAUAGAGAAACAUGUAUCAGUUUCUUACAAAAGCCCUUUGAGUAUACACCAAAUGAUGGUCAAGAAGAUGCUAUUGAUGACAGACUUGUGAAGUACUUGCUUAUAACAGAGGACUGUAAACUUACGUUUAAUCUUAGGACGUACAAUGGAAGGCCAAGUGAUUCCAAGAAUAAACCUUUUUGAGAUGGUCUUUGUAAACUAUUGGAAGAAAAUACAACUGUUCAUGCGAGAAGACUAAGUAAUAUACAGUAUCUCCCUUUCGCGAUAUCUGUUGAAGACUUGAGAGAUAAAGUAUUAGAAAAGUUACCACCAGGUACUCCAUCCCCAUCUCUUUCCUGGAUAAGGCUGAAUUUUCAACCAAGAAACCCAUACCAGAAAUUAGCUGCAAAUUAUACAGGAAUGUCUAGAUGACAAGGCUAACGUACAUGUGGGCGAACCAGGCCACCCUGUGUCUACAGGGGUCCGAUCUUAUCAUGUUGGUUUUGUUGCAAAUGAUGGUAAGAUAGUUGCUUUGGAACAUGACUUCCAUUUGGCUGACGUUGUACCUUCAGUUUGUUUUCACGUUGACAUCGAAGAGUCAGUGUGUGAUAGCUUUUACAGAAGGACUUUAAAUUCAGUGAAAGAUAAAGUGUUCGAAGCUUCAUCAACUCUUUAGCAUAGUACAGAGACUGCGAAGAUUAUAAGGAGACAUUACAGUGACAAUGAUGUCAAUUCAAACCUCCCAAUUAUAUGUAGAUACACAGAUAGUGGUCCAGAUCACAGAACUACAUACCAAUAAGUAUAGUUGUGCAGUCUCUUGUAGUUCAUUGUUCUAGAUUUGGAUAUGAUUGUUGCAGUCAGGAUUGCUCCUGCACAGAGCUAUCAUAACCCGGCCAAGCCUGUGAUGAGCACACUUGACUUAGCUUUGCAAAAUGUCUCACUGGAGAGGUCUAAAAUGAAUGCUGAGUUUGAAUUGCAGGCAAAGUCAUAAACUCCCUAAAAGCAAUAAGAAAUGCUGGUGUGAGAAACCCCGCAUGAAAACAAGCCGUUAUAUCCUCCAUGGAGUCAACCCUUUCCCUAAUAAAAGGACGCUUUCGGAAAUUAAGAUGGACUGGAGAGCAUAUCUUGGUCCACAUUUCUGCAGCAACUGAAUAAAUUCAAGAUUUGAGCAACCUCAAUAUAGCCAUUGAUCCGUCAGUGAGACUGAAAGAUAACAAAACUUGGAAAUCACCAUUACUACAGGCAUUUCUAGUCAGCCAUGGAAGAAAGAGACACUAUAUGUUUCAGGUGUAAAAAUUCUCAAUGAGUACCAUCAGUUUAAGGUACAUCCAAGAGUCCAGCUUUACACUGAAAAAUGUUCAUCCGAGACCUGUGGGUAUUGUGUAAUCAAUCCACCAAGAAUUCAAGACAACUUGUUCAAGGACCUUCACUUUGUCCCUGAUCCAGAUGUUGAGUUUGACCAAAUUUAUGGCACUAAAACAAACGACUCUGUCCGUCCGAGCGCUUAAGAAAAGGAACAGAAGUCUGAUAGGGAAUAGCAGUUCGAGAACAUUUUCAAGUUGGUUGUUGGAAGAGUGAGAGGAUUUGUUAGUAAUACGUGAAAAGACUGUAGUAAAACUAGGGUUCUGUAUAGUGCAGCAGAACCGUCAGCAUCUGAAUCUCAUUCAGUAACUCGAGUAGAGGAGGAGUUGAUCUACAUAUGUGAUGAUCCCCUAUUUCAUGCUGGAAUCUACAAAGAUAAGAUUAUUGUUAAAGAGGGUCUUACAUGCAGUUCUCCAAUAGAGGCAUCCUAUUAUGCAGGAAAGACAGUGCAGUUUGAUGAUGUAUGCUUCUACUGUGGUGAAGUUGACAACUGCGAGAUCAAAAGACUUCAGAAACAAUAUGGAAUUGUGUGGCCUAUUUGUGCUGCAUGUAAGGCAGUUGAGCCUGUGAAAACCAGAAAUGCAAUUAAAACAAAAAAGCGAAAGUGACAAUUAGAUAUCAUGCACUUCAGUGAAACUUAAUGUCUUAUAAAUGAGACUCAAGACAUUUUUUGUGAUGCUGUUCGGCAGAAUCUUUUGCGUGCUCAUUGUGAAGUUGUACAGUUUUAUAGUGUCAAUUUAAAUGUUGAAAAACUAAAGAUAUUACAUUUUGAGCCCAAUGUUUUACAGAAUCAUUGUCAGAUAAAGUUUAGACAGAAACACAGUGUGAAGUGGUAGAAGUGAAAUUUAAAUGUUGAAAAAUGAAGAUGUUUCGCUGUGAGCCUUAUGUUUUACAGAAUCAGUGUCAUAUAAUGUUUAGACAGAAACACAGUGUGAAGUGGUAGAAUUGAAAUUUAAAUGUUGAAAAAUGAAGAUGUUACGUUGUGAGCCUUAUAUUUACAGAUUCAGUGUCAAAUUAUGUUUAGACAGAAACACAGUGUGAAGUGGUAGAAGUGAAAUUUAUGUUAAAACUGACGAUGUUACUUUUUCAUGUUUGUGAGUCUGUAAUAUGUUUUCCAGAAUAAGUGUAAAAAGUGCACUUUAAUAGUAAAAUUAAAUGUUGAAAAACUGAAGAUGUUACUUUUGGAACUUUAAUAUGUUUUAUAGAAUCAGUGUGUUAGGUACACUUUAAUAGUGAAAUUUUAUGUUGAAAAACUGAAGAUGUGUGAAAUCUAUUUCAUUAAUGAAAUCAAAGUUUUUAUCUGUGAAAUUAUUGUGAAAAAAUCAAUUGUGAAAAACUGGAGACCCCUCACCCUUUGUAGGCUUGGGACUGUCUAGGUGUUAGUAGGUGCGAGUACAUAUUAAAUAGCUAAAUAACACUACACUACGCUACACUAUACACCAGGCGUGUUUAGUCUCUAUUUUAUUUCUAUACAAAUAAAAAGCAUCGUGCAUACAAGUUACACAUUAAACUAACACUUUACUAAAUGUGAUAUGGUACCUGAUAGUUCAGAAUAGUUUAUUUAUGAUCAAAAUCUUUAUUGUCUAUGAUUUACAAAAAAAAAACCCAAACCCUUUUUGUUGUUUUAUUUCUAUCUUUUUAAUCAGCUCAAAAUUGUGAU
rnacentral:lncRNA from 1 species